rnacentral:lncRNA from 1 species
CCGCCUACCCACGUCUCCCUUCCGAGGGCCGCCGGGGGCUGCGGGCGCGCGGAGAGGUCCACCGGGAGAGCGGGGCCCCCCGGGUCCCCCGGGACCGCCGGGAGUGCCUGGAUCCGACGGCAUCGACCCCUGACAUGCGGAGCCCGUUAUAGCCGCCGACAGACAAGGAGCUGCUGUUCAGUCCGCCGGCCGCAGCUCACAGCGAGGCCUCAUCCCCCUCCUCUCCUUUCCCCUCCUUGUGGGGUAGGAGGCGACUCAACCCCUCACCCUGCCUCUGGCACAUCUGGACGCUUCUUCAGGGUGACAAUGGGCCCCCUGGAAAAGCUGGCCCUCCGGGACCCAAGGGCGAGCCUGGCAAAGCUGGGCCAGAUGGGCCAGACGGGAAGCCCGGGAUUGAUGGUUUAACUGGAGCCAAGGGGGAGCCUGGCCCCAUGGGGAUCCCUGGAGUCAAGGGCCAGCCCGGGCUUCCUGGUCCUCCUGGCCUUCCGGGCCCUGGUUUUGCUGGACCUCCUGGGCCUCCUGGACCUGUUGGCCUCCCUGGUGAGAUUGGAAUCCGAGGCCCCAAGGGGGACCCUGGACCAGAUGGACCAUCGGGGCCCCCAGGACCCCCUGGGAAACCUGGUCGCCCGGGAACCAUCCAGGGUCUGGAAGGCAGUGCGGAUUUCCUG